rnacentral:rRNA from 1 species
UACGUAGGGUGCGAGCGUUGUCCGGAAUUAUUGGGCGUAAAGAGCUCGUAGGUGGCGGGUCACGUCGGGUGUGAAAGCCCGGGGCUUAACCCCGGAAUUGCACCUAAAACUACAUGGCUAGAGUACUGGAGAGGGUAACGGAAUUCACGGUGUAGCAGUGAAAUGCGUAGAUAUCGUGAGGAACACCAGAGGCGAAGGCGGUUACCUGGACAGUUACUGACGCUCAGGCACGAAAGCGUGGGGAGCAAAAGGG